AGCUCAGAGAAAUUGAGUAAGUGUUUUUUUUUCCUCGCAUCUCACCAUGAAUUUUUUUAAGAUGAAUGUGUGAAUAUUACUACAGAAGGUUGAUAAUUUCAUAUAGGAAUUGAAUUGGCUGAGAUAUGGAAUUUUCAAAGUUCAGGUUUUGCUUGAAUAAAUCUAAAUGGCAGCUGGAGGAAGAUGUGAUACCUCUGGCUCUGGUGUACCAAAUACAAAUUUUUUAAGUUUAAAGCUGCAUUGCAUUUUAAGCCCAAAGAAAUGCAGAUUGACUAUUUCUAACUUGUUUAUUGAAUAUUAAACUAUAAUAAUAAUAUAAAGAUUGGGCAGUUAGGCUAUAUGUUCUGUUCUUAAAGCAUUGGAAG
rnacentral:misc_RNA from 1 species